rnacentral:rRNA from 1 species
AACGAACGCUGGCGGCGUGCCUAACACAUGCAAGUCGUGCGAGAAAGUUCCUUCGGGAGCGAGUAAAGCGGCGCACGGGUGAGUAACACGUAGGUAACCUGCCCCCCAGUCUGGAACAACUAGAGGAAACUCUAGCUAAUGCCGGAUGAGACCACGAUCCCUUCGGGGGUUGCGGCCAAAGAUGGCCUCUACUUGUAAGCUAUCGCUGAGGGAUGGGCCUGCGGCCAUUAGCUUGUUGGUGAGGUAACGGCUCACCAAGGCUGUGAUGGCUAGCUGGUCUGAGAGGAUGACCAGCCACACUGGGACUGAGACACGGCCCAGACUCCUACGGAGGCAGCAGUGGGGAAUAUUGCGCAAAUGGGCGAAAGCCUGACGCAGCGACGCCGCGUGGGUGAUGAAGGCCU